rnacentral:rRNA from 1 species
UUUUAGUGGCGGACGGGUGAGUAACGCGUGGGUAACCUGCCUCACACUGGGGGAUAACACUUAGAAAUAGGUGCUAAUACCGCAUAAGCGCACGGGACUGCAUGGUCUUGUGUGAAAAACUCCGGUGGUGUGAGAUGGACCCGCGUCUGAUUAGCUGGUUGGCGGGGUAACGGCCCACCAAGGCGACGAUCAGUAGCCGGCCUGAGAGGGCGGACGGCCACAUUGGGACUGAGACACGGCCCAAACUCCUACGGGAGGCAGCAG